CAAAAACAUCACCUCCAGCAUCCCUAGUAUUGGAGGCACUGCCUGCCCAGUGACAACCGUUAAACGGCCGCGGUAUCCUGACCGUGCAAAGGUAGCAUAAUCACUUGUUCUCUAAAUAGGGACUCGUAUGAAUGGCCACACGAGGGUUUUACUGUCUCUUACUUCCAAUCAGUGAAAUUGACCUUCCCGUGAAGAGGCGGGAAUGCACUAAUAAGACGAGAAGACCCUAUGGAGCUUUAACUAAUCAGCCCAAAGAAAAACAAACCAAACCACUAAGGAAUAACAACACUCUUCAUGAGCUGACAGUUUCGGUUGGGGUGACCUCGGAGAAUAAAAAAUCCUCCGAGCGAUUUUAAAGACUAGACCUACAAGUCAAAUCGCUCUAUCGCUCAUUGAUCCAAAAAUUUUGAUCAACGGAACAAGUUACCCUAGGGAUAACAGCGCAAUCCUAUUCAAGAGUCCAUAUCGACAAUAGGGUUUACGACCUCGAUGUUGGAUCAGGACACCCUGAUGGUGCAACCGCUAUCAAAGGUUCGUUUGUUCAACGAUUAAAGUCCUACGUGAUCUGA
rnacentral:rRNA from 1 species